rnacentral:lncRNA from 1 species
CGUGACUUCAUAGAUGGUAAGGUCAUGCUCAAAUGCAAGUGCUCCGGAGGAGCCAUCGGUAACUGUCUGGACCGGAUUUUCAUGGAUUUCAAUUUCCCUUCAAAAUGGCCCUUGUGCAUUCCGGCCCCAGGAAUACUGUUAGCUGGUGCAUGAAUUCUUGAUACAUUUGUCCAAGCAAAAUUACAAACUUGAAGUACAAGACCGAUAUGGUCCAUAGAGUACAUCAAAACAUUUCUAAUGGUUGAUGGUCGAAGCGGUUCGAGGAUCUUCAACGUCUAUGGGACACAAUUUCCCACAGGAAGAGCUGACCUGGAUAAAUUCCUAUCUCACGCGGCUGCUGUCUUCAGUGUCUAGGUUCCGGGUUUAUCGUCGAGUUCCUCCUCUCCAAUCAUGCAAUAUGUCCAAGACAAUAGCGAGGGACAAGCAAGUGAGUAUUUUGAAUGUACUCGUAAACAUCAUGAAACAAACAUAAAUUGGCAGGGUUAAUAUACACUUGUAAUAAUACCACAAUACUUCGUCAACCCUGAUGUACUUCUCAAGUACUAGUAAUGAGAAUAUAAUCUUACUUAGAAAUUAAUAAGCAAACAAUAAGAGUAAAAUUAACGGAUCUGAUAUAAAACAUGCCUCUGUCGGGCGUUUGAGCGACACCACCUAUAUGGCUUGAGUAAAAUAAUAACAAGCAUGCCACAGUCGGGUGUCUAAGCGACACCACAUAAAGGGCUUAUAUGAAAUAAUAAACAUGCCGCAGUCGGGCAUCUCAGCGACACCACAUAAAGGGCUUAUAUGAAAUAAUAAACAUGCCGCAGUAGGGCGUCUUAGCGACACUACAUAAGGGGCUUAUAUGAAAUAAGGAACAUGGUGCAGUCGGGCGUCUCCGCGACACCACAUAAAGGGCUUAUAUGAAAUAUUAAACAUGCCGUAGUCGGGCGUCUCCACGACACCACAUAAAGGUCUUAUAUGAAAUGAUAAUAAAAAUGAAUAUAUAGGAGGUAGAACCGUCCCAAGGAUAUUCAACAAUCAUAAUCAUAGGGGUUAGUCCAUAAUAAUAAAAAUAAUAGUAUGAUCAUUCACCAUAUUUCAUGAUUAGUCUCACGAUUUGUCUAACUUCCUCUGGAGACCAACACUCAGACCGACACUUGACUAGUGAACCAGUCGUCCUUGACCGUGGACACGGCUACUCGAAUAGUUUUAACUCCGCACAGGGUGUACUCUUUACCCACAACCCAAAGUUUUCAAUAGUCACUCGGACUAAUCCUGCGUACGGUUUUUCAGAGGUAAACACUCAGAACCUGCACACACCGAUCUUUCCACCGUGAAGACCUGACUCACAAGGGCUCCGCUUCCAUGGAACAACCAUAAGAUGGGGAGGCUCGAACCUCGACUAGCAUGGGAUUAAAUUUAUACCGCGUGCUAAAAAGAGCUCUUCCCUCUUGGUCCCAGACGGGAAACACCCAUGGCCCGUGACCGGAUGACUGGAUUUAGUCCAUGGCCGUGGAUACCUUCAUCCUGGCCCCUCUACUUGGUGUGUACCUGGUAAUAGGUUACGACCUACUGAACCAUAACCCCUUUCUGGAAGAUCAUGGCCGCACGAAUCGGUUAAGGUGACGNNN